rnacentral:rRNA from 1 species
AGAGUUUGAUCCUGGCUCAGGACGAACGCUGGCGGCGUGCUUAACACAUGCAAGUCGAGCGAUGAAACCCUUCGGGGUGGAUUAGCGGCGGACGGGUGAGUAACACGUGGGCAACCUGCCUCAAAGAGGGGGAUAGCCUCCCGAAAGGGAGAUUAAUACCGCAUAACAUUAGUUUGUUGCAUGAUGAACUAAUUAAAGGA